UUUAAAAUUUUCACUUGUCAUUUUCUAAAUGGUUCUUAGUGUGUUAAAAUUUUAUAAGAACAAAUUAGAAAAUGACAAGUGGCAAUUUUAGG
rnacentral:pre_miRNA from 1 species